rnacentral:rRNA from 1 species
AGUGAACGCUGGCGGCAAGCCUAAUACAUGCAAGUCGAACGGCAGCACAGCAGAGCUUGCUCUGUGGGUGGCGAGUGGCGGACGGGUGAGGAAUACAUGGGAAUCUGCCCAGUCGUGGGGGAUAACGUAGGGAAACUUACGCUAAUACCGCAUGCGCCCUUCGGGGGAAAGCCGGGGACCUUCGGGCCUGGCGCGAUUGGCGGAGCCCCGGUCGGUUUAGCUAGUUGGCGGGGUAAAGGCCCACCAAGGCGACGAUCCGAAGGUGGUCUGAGAGGAUGAUCAGCCAACCUGGAACUGAGACACGGUCCAGACUCCUACGGGAGUCAGCAGUAGGGAAUAUUGGGCAAUGGGCGCAAGCCUGAUCCAGCCAUGCCGCGUGAGUGAAGAAGGCCCUCGGGUUGUAAGGCUCUUUUGUCCGGAAAGAAAAGCGUUGGGUUAAUACCCUGGCGUCCUGACGGUACCGGAAGAAUAAGCACCGGCUAACUUCGUGCCAGCAGCCGCCGUAA